rnacentral:miRNA from 2 species
UUUGCGAGUUGGCCCGCUUGC